GGUGGGGUUCCCGAGCGGCCAAAGGGAGCACGACUGUAAAUCUGCCGUCAUCGACUUCGAAGGUUCGAAUCCUUCCCCCACCACCA
rnacentral:tRNA from 1 species